GAUGAACGCUAGCGGCAGGCUUAAUACAUGCAAGUCGAGGGGUAACAUGGUAGCAAUACUGAUGACGACCGGCAAACGGGUGCGGAACACGUACAGAACCUUCCUUUAAGCGGGGGAUAGCCCAUAGAAAUAGUGGAUUAAUACCCCACUAGUAAUAUUGUCUGGCAUCAGAUGGUAUUUAAAGUAAUUUAUCACUUAAAGAAUGGCUGUGCGGCUGAUUAGGUAGUUGGNGGAGGGUAACGGCCCACCAAGCCAGCGAUCAGUAACUGGUGUGAGAGCACGACCAGUCACACGGGC
rnacentral:rRNA from 1 species